rnacentral:rRNA from 1 species
GACGAACGCUGGCGGCGUGCUUAACACAUGCAAGUCGAACGGAAAGGCCCUGCUUUUGUGGGGUGCUCGAGUGGCGAACGGGUGAGUAACACGUGAGUAACCUGCCCUUGACUUUGGGAUAACUCCAGGAAACUGGGGCUAAUACCGGAUAGGAGCUCCUGCUGCAUGGUGGGGGUUGGAAAGUUUCGGCGGUUGGGGAUGGACUCGCGGCUUAUCAGCUUGUUGGUGGGGUAGUGGCUUACCAAGGCUUUGACGGGUAGCCGGCCUGAGAGGGUGACCGGCCACAUGGGGACGGAGAUACGGCCCAGACUCCUACGGGAGGCAGCAGUGGGGAAUAUUGCACAGUGGGCGGAAGCCUGAUGCAGCAACGCCGCGUGCGGGAUGACGGCCUUCGGGUGGGAAACCGCUUUCGCCUGUGACGAAGCGUGAGUGACGGUAAUGGGUAAAGAAGCACCGGCUAACUACGU